CUUGGUCAUUUAGAGGAAGUAAAAGUCGUAACAAGGUUUCCGUAGGUGAACCUGCGGAAGGAUCAUUAAAAAAAUUAAUCGAUUCUUCAAUUACUGAAGAUAUUGAAUUAACCCCAAAUUGUGAUAAUUAUUGGCUUAAGAAUAAUUGAGGAUUGAAAAUGUUUUGGCAUUCGUAAGAAUGAUAAAACGGCCUCAACUAUUAUUUAAAAGAACCUGGCUUUAUUUUAUAUCUUUUGGCUUAAAAAAAUUGAUUUUAUAUCAAAAUAAUUAAAUCAAAACUUUCAACAACGGAUCUCUUGGUUCUCGCAUCGAUGAAGAACGCAGCGAAAUGCGAUACGUAAUGUGAAUUGCAGAUUCAGUGAAUCAUCGAAUCUUUGAACGCAUAUUGCACUCUUUGGUAUUCCGAAGAGUAUGCCUGUUUCAGUAUCAUAAAACUCUCAUAUAAUUAAAUUGCUUUUUUGGCUUUUUUAAUUUUAUGGAUUUGGGCUUUGCAUUUUUAACGAGUGCUUGCCUAAAAUUGAUUUCUUGAUGGUUGAAUCCCUUAGUAUUCAAUUUAGCUUAAUAGUUUUGGCCUUGUGCUAAAUCUUUGGCUUCAUUGAUGGAUUCAAUUCAUGCGAGAUUAACGAAUAAAUCAACUUAAAAAUUUGAUCUGAAAUCAGGUAGGACUACCCGCUGAACUUAAGCAUAUCAAUAAGCGGAGGAAAAGAAACUAACAAGGAUUCCCUCAGUAACGGCGAGUGAAGCGGGAAAAGCUCAAAUUUAAAAUCUGGCAAAAGCCCGAGUUGUAUUCUAAAGAGCCGUUUUCCUUGAACGCCAAGGCAAAAGUCCUCUGGAAAGGGGCAUCAUAGAGGGUGAGAAUCCCGUCUUUGGCCUUGGGCUUGUUCAUUUUGUGAUACGGCCUCUACGAGUCAGGUUGUUUGGGAAUGCAGCCUAAAAUGGGUGGUAAAUUUCAUCUAAAGCUAAAUAUUGGCGAGAGACCGAUAGCGAACAAGUACCGUGAGGGAAAGAUGAAAAGAACUUUGAAAAGAGAGUUAAACAGUACGUGAAAUUGUUGAAAGGGAAACGUUUGAAGCCAGUCAGCUGGCUUGUAAUCAAUCUAUCCUUUGGGGUGGAUGCACUUGCAAGUUUGCAGGUCAACGUCAAUUUGGUUUGGCUGGAAAAAAAUUAAGGGAAUGUGGCUACCUCGGUAGUGUUAUAGCCUUUAGUGAAAUACAGUCGACUGGAUUGAGGAACGCAGCCAGAAUGUGGGCCUUUUGGCUUCUAACUGGCUUAGGUCGUUGACUUAAUGGCUUUAAAUGACCCGUCUUGAAACACGGACC
rnacentral:rRNA from 1 species